rnacentral:rRNA from 1 species
AUGUUCGAGUAUGUAAAUGUUGUCAGCAAGAUGUUUGAUAGUGAGGCUGAAGGCUAUGAAUUCUACAACAAAUAUGCUCUUGAAAAAGGUUUUAGUGUGAGGAAAAGCUACGUUGAGUGGGAUGGAUCCAACAAAUACAUAAUUUUAAGGAAAAUUGUGUGUAGUCGUCAAGGGUUUCGCAAAGAGAAGCACAUGAAAAGAAAGAUGGAAGAUAGAAAGAGGAGGCCACGAAGUUUAACUCGUGUUGGGUGUAAUGCUAAAUUGGUCAUUACGAGACAGGAGGAAACCGGUUGGUGGUUUGUCAAGGAUUUCAUCGAUGAGCACAUCCAUCCUCUAGCCCCACGGGAUCUUUCUUGUCUGAUGCGUUCGCACAGGCGAAUUAGCGAUGAGCAGAAAGCGGACAUUGCGGACAUGGAAAAGUGUGGGAUCCACAAAUACCGUAUUAUGGAUAUUUUGUGCUUUCAAUACGGUGGAUUUGAUAAGGUUGGAUGCAUAAAGAGGGACGUUUAUAAUUUCUUCCAUGCUAAUAAGCAGGAGACAAUCAGUGCCGGUGAUGCUAAUACGGUGAUCAUGCACAUGAUGGCGAGGCGAGAGCGAGAUGUGCAUUUUUUCUUCAAGUACUUGGUAGACGAGCAUGGCCAUCUGAAGGGACUGUUCUGGGCUGAUAGUCAGUCGCGACUUGACUACGAGGCUUUCGGAGACGUCAUUGUUUUCGAUAUCACUUACAGAACCAACAAAUACAAUCUGCCAUUUGUGCCGUUUGUCGGGUUGAAUCACCACCGCAGCACUGUUAUUUUUGGCUGUGGUAUAAUUUCUCAUGAAACAAGCCAGGCAUACGAGUGGAUGUUGCGGACCUUUUCUGAUUGCAUGGCACAGAAGCAUCCGAUAUCUGUGAUCACAGAUGGGGACCUUGCAAUGCAGAGAGCAAUAAGGGUGGUCUGGCCAGACUCAAACCAUAGACUAUGUAUAUGGCACAUUCAGCAGAACAUUGUACGCCAUCUGCAUGAUGACGACAUAAAGGAAGAAUUCAGAUCUUUCAUUUAUGAUACUUCUUCCAUUGAAGAGCAUGAGAUAAAAUGGAUACAAUUCUUACAACGGAAUAAAGUAACCAGUGGGGAGUCUUGGCUGCAUCAGAUGUAUCAGAUGAGAAAGUUGUGGUGUGCUCCAUAUCUUGAGGGGCGUUGUUUCCUAGGAUUGAGCAGCAAUCAGAGGAGUGAGAGCUUGAACUCUGUGCUACAUACGCAUCUUGAGGGUAAGAUGUCGUUGUUUGAAAUGCUAGAGCACUAUGAGCGUUGCCUUGCGUCGUGA